UUGAGCACCCUCGUUUCUGGUUUUGUGGUGGUAUGUGUGUCUCGCCGUUGGGUUUUAAUAAGGAGAGGAAGAGACCGAUCUUGAAAGAACUAGGCAAUCAGCUGGAGGUCAGACAGAGGCAGAGAAUAUUUGAGGCAUUGGUGAGAAAACCAUUGUUUUGAGAUGGACACCAAUCGAGAACACAUCAUGGAGUUGUGUCAUUGCAAGAGUUUGUAUGCCUUAGCCGCCAUAACUUUCGAUUCCUGUGCAAGAAUCAACCGAAGAUAAAAAUUCAGGAAACCCUAACUGUUUUCUCUCGACCGCAGCCCAUUACCGGA
rnacentral:lncRNA from 1 species